GACAGAGGCCUCGAGCGUUAGGCGGAAUCACUGGGCUUAAAGCGUGUGUAGGCGGAUCGUUAAGUACCUUGUGAAAUCCCACGGCUCAACCGUGGAACGGCUGGGUAUACUGGCGGUCUUGGGCCAUUCAGGGGCGACUGGAACAAGCGGUGGAGCGGUGAAAUGCGUAGAUAUCGCUUGGAACGCCGAAGGUGAAAACAGGUCGUUGGGGAUGUGCCGACGCUGAGACACGAAAGCCAGGGGAGCAAACGGG
rnacentral:rRNA from 1 species